AUUAGCUAUCUAUCAUGCGGCCUCCACCAGGCUGCAGGAUAUGAGGGCCAUUUAAUUAGGCCCUGCACCACUCUCGGGUGUGAAAAGGCUCUCAAACGCUUUGAUUCCCCGCUGCUUCGCAGCAGGAAGUUGUUGGCGAUAAUUGACAUAGGAUUUCCUUGUUAACCAGCAGCAGACACGCCGGAUUAAAGCGACAGAGAUCUCGAGAAGAAAGUGAAAGAGAUAAGAAGCUCGGAAGACUUCUGCUUAUUUGGCACUUGAGGAUGGCAGGAAACAGCAAUAACCUACUCAAGUGGCGACUCUAGAGUGGAAGGGCGUCCCCUUAUCAGACCUAUUUCAGCUUGGCUGAUCAAAGAUUGACUCCCCGCAAAAUCACAUAGGCCUGGGGUUUGUUAGUUUAUUAAGCAGCAGGUUUUAGGAAUUAUCACAGGUUUAAAGAUGGAUUGCAGUUUAUGUGAAGGGGGAGAGGAUUAUCGGGUUUUCAUCUUAACAAUUAUAAAAUAUCACAGCUGAAAGCUUGCUUGCAAAUGACAUAAUUUUCCACUGCCAACUAAACAGGUCAUUGUGAGGCUGCCUGUGAGCGCACUCAACGAGGGAGGAAAUACAGGCAAAUUAACUCUGGGGAGGACCGGGGAUGAGGGGCCUCCACGCCUUGUUCCACUUCGGAAGACGGUGCGAUCUCAUUUUGCCCUGUGCGAUUCCUUAGGUAUAACAUCCAAUUGCUCCUGUUGGAAGGGACACUCUGCAUGUAAAUGGCAGAGACACUCUGGUUCACUCAAAUGUAUUGUUCCUGAAAGAAAGGAAGUGGUCUGCAGAGAAGAUACUCAGCUAGAAGAUUCCUCUGUGAGGCUGCUAGUACUUCUCCAGCAGACCAAGCCAGGAGAGCUUUCUCAAAGAUUCUACCAGAUUUUCCAGGGGUUCUCAAAGAUUGUCUGCAAACCAGCUCUGAUAAAUGAUUGCAGCUUCUUGAGUCUAUAGAGAGAGACCUUUAUGCUCUCUCUACUAGGAAAAUGUUGAAGACAAUAUAUAAAUUUCUGAAAAGAUUUGAAUGAUUUGAUUUGGCAAAAUAAAGAAUUGCCAAUCCUACAUAGAGCUCCAUACACCAAUUUUUAAAAAUAAUUUUAUUGCUUCACAAAAUCUGGGAACCACUGGAUAUAUGAAGUAUCUCUUUUAGCUAAAGCAAAGUCAACUCUCACCCUCGAAAAAAGUUCAUUUUUUGAUCUGUUUUUAUUUUUCUGUGGCAAAAAGUGCUUUUGUGAUGCCUCUAUGAAUAAAAGACUCAUUUU
rnacentral:lncRNA from 1 species